CACUAGAAAUUUCAUUUUUUUCUUUAUUAUUUAGCAAUUUUGUACAACCACCAUAUUUUCUUUCGACAUAUUCACCGUCAUAAUUUUUUUUUUCUCUUCGAUCGCUAAACCCUCUUUACCGCACUACUAUUUUUUGCAUUAGUCAGACCAGAUAUAAAUUUAAAUAUACAGGUGUAUAUAUAUAUAUAUAUAUUAUUUUAUUUUUUG
rnacentral:lncRNA from 1 species